GACGAACCGUGCGAACGUUGUUCGGAAUCACUGGGCUUAAAGGGCGCGUAGGCGGGCCUCCCAGUCCGGGGUGAAAGCUUUCGGCUUAACCGGAAAAGUGCCUUGGAUACUGGAGGCCUCGAGGGGGGUAGGCGCAGCUGGAACUUCCGGUGGAGCGGUGAAAUGCGUUGAUAUCGGAAGGAACGCCGGUGGCGAAAGCGAGCUGCUGGACCUCUACUGACGCUGAGGCGCGAAAGCCAGGGGAGCGAACGGG
rnacentral:rRNA from 1 species